rnacentral:lncRNA from 1 species
UCAAGACUUGAAUUAUCAUCUUUAACUAACAUAUUAAGUGCCCAUAUUUCACUGCAAUAAAGUAGUAUAGGUUUUAAACAACUUUCAAACAGUUUUAAAUGUGGAUGAAUAUUAAGUUUAUCUGAGAAUAAGAGCUUUCUAAUGCAAAACAUUGCCUUGGAAGCUUUUUUGCACAGAUGAUUGACAGCAUAAGUGAAAAUUCCUGAGGGCUUAAAUAAAAUACCCAAAUAUUUAU